rnacentral:piRNA from 1 species
UGAGAUGCUGAUGGGGAUCUAUGAACGGAUC